UGCGUGACAUUUGGAAUUCUG
rnacentral:misc_RNA from 1 species